AUAUACAAUUUUCUCUUCUCGGUCCCAACGACUAAAGUUUCGUUCUGGCCGAUGUAAAAAAUUCUUAUUUUCCUGCUUGAACAGCAAUUUCAAAGCGCGAUAUAUGUUUUUACACAGGCCAUAAAAAAAAAUUAAUGAAAUGUAAUAGUCGAUAAUUAUUUUUACAACUUUAUGUUCAUUGUUUAGUAUAAAGAUGCAAACAUUGAUGCUUUUUUAGAAAAAGGAAAAAAAAAAGGGAUAAAGAUAUAAUUCACGAUAUAAUUUCAUGCAUUUUUUGAUGUGUACUUAAGCUUGUCAGUUAUCGAUGCGCGAUAACUAUGAAUUUAAGCGCAAUUAAUAUGUUUCUGUACUUUUAACGGAUAAUUUAUGAUUUUCCUUCACUGUACUUUCUAUUGUAUGGAAUUCAUAAAUUGUACAAAAGAAAGUGAAAGAAUGAGAAUCAUUAGCGAGCGUGUUACAAGAGACACUAGGAAGAAAACAACGAUAUUGCGUGUUAUGGCUUAUUCCGCUUGCAAGGGAGAAAACCUUGAAGAGUCGCUUAGUGCCUGCCAUUUAUUAGCAUUAACUCGAAUAUUUCUAACAACACUGCCCUUGUAAAUAUCAUAAAUUUAUACAUACGAAGCAACUUCGUCGACUCUUCAUGGUAGUGUCUUGACCAGCCAGUGUUUCACUGUGAUCGAGUCGUAGUAUUGGAAUACUUUAUAGUUCUAAGAACAUUAAACGAGAUAUAAGGAAGAAAAUAUUUCAAUACGUAUGACGUAAAAGUUAUUUAAAAAAAGAAAAAAGAAAAAAGAAAAAGAAAAAGAAAGAUCAGCACUGCGCGAUUAAUGAAGAGUCGGUCGACACUUCUCCGAAAGAUCAAAUGCGGUAUCGUGUCCGUUUUUCAUUGGAUCUCAGGGUCAUUGAUGAAUUAUACGUAUCGUGUCAAGUCGUUUGAUGGAUGUAUACGGCAAGUAAUCAUGAAAAAAACGAAGGGUAUAAACGCAAUAACCCUGAGUCCCCACGCCCCCUAUAUUGUGUCUAGUCUCGGAAAAGGAAACUGCAUUGUUCUCAUUUUAUAUGAUACGAUCCUUUUUUGUGCUGGCGCAAAUGUGUACGUACUAACGAAAUAAAAUCUUUAUAUGAGACGACCUCCCUAUUUCCCUGUUAUCGAUCAUCGAUCAUAAAUUAAGAAUAAUUAACAUUACAGAUUGGACUAUUAUUUGAUUUUAUAAAAUAUUAUUGUUAUCGAAGGAUAAAAAUGAUCAUGCAGAUUGACUAAUGAAUUCAUUCGUUAAGUUUGUCACAUAAAUGUAAAAAAUUGAGCACGAAAUUCGUUGUUCAAAAAUUUAAUUGGUCGAAGAAUAGUUUCAAGAUUGAAAUAAAUUAUUUGCAAUUAAGGAUACAUAUAUUUUCAUUGGUUGAUGAGCGCAUCGAUCGCAAGCAACGCUUGGCGCCACUACAGCCUUAAGGGUGACGCCAUGUUGGUGGGACGAGGCGUAAAAAACAUUGUCUAGCAAAGUAAAGAAAUCAGUUUUGUUUGAAAAAAUUCUAAUAACGAUUAAUUGUUAUAAUCCAAUAAGAAAAGAAAGGAAAAAAGAGAUAUUAAUAAAAAAAAUUAUUCUAAUGUUAAAGCAUUAAUUGUCAAUUGAUAAAUAUUUUUCAGAGGUAAUUUGACGAAUAGUGCCAGCCCUGCUUAAAGGGGCGCGUAAUUUUAUUCGAUAAAAGAUACAGAGCUGGAUACAUAAACUCAAGCACCCUGCAAGCUCGUUAAUUUCCAACAAAAAUACUCGAUCUAUUAAUCAAUUUUAUAUUUAUUAAACGUAAUUAUAUAUUUUUAGCAAAUAUCUUUAGCAUAUACCUUUUUAAGAGGAUACAUGAUACAUAUAGAAAAAGUGAACAAUGAAUAAGUAAAAUGGUGAAUUUAUAACCAUUUUAUACCGUAAUACGAAGAAUAAAAAAUUAUAUGCGUUAGGUAAAGUUUUAUAUGUAUUAAAUUUUUAUUAAUA